rnacentral:rRNA from 1 species
UACGUAGGAGACGAGCGUUGUCCGGAGUUACUGGGCGUAAAGGGUGCGCAGGUGGCGGCGCGCGUGGGGGGUGAAAUCGCCCGGCUUAACUGGGCGGGGGCCUUCCAGACGGCGUGGCUUGAGCAGCGGAGGGGGACGUGGAAUUCCGGGUGGAGCGGUGAAAUGCGUAGAGAUCCGGAGGAACACCGAUGGCGAAGGCAGGUCUCUGGGCUGUAACUGACGCUGAGGAGCGAAAGCAUGGGGAGCGAACAGG